rnacentral:lncRNA from 1 species
AGGACCCAUCGGGCAAGGACAUCAAUGCUCUUGAGCAGCACAUCAAGAACCUCCUCAGCCCAUCCACCCCAUUCUUCUUCAACACCCUGUACGACCCGUACCGUGAGGGUGCUGACUUUGUGCGUGGGUACCCCUUCAGCCUCAGGGAGGGUGCCCACACUGCUGUCUCCCACGGCCUGUGGCUGAACAUCCCUGACUAUGAUGCUCCCACACAGCUGGUCAAGCCUAAGGAGAGGAAUGAAAGGUGCUGCGGUUUGUUCUCAUUUUUCAUCUUACAUUCUGGCAACUAUUUUGCUGCAUCAUGGGUUGUGGCUAACUCCUUUUUUUGGUUUCAGGUAUGUUGAUGCUGUCAUGACAAUCCCCAAGGGAACCUUGUUCCCCAUGUGCGGCAUGAACCUUGCCUUCGACAGGGAUCUCAUUGGCCCUGCCAUGUACUUUGGUCUCAUGGGUGAUGGCCAGCCUAUUGGCCGCUACGACGACAUGUGGGCUGGGUGGUGUGUGAAGGUGUGUGGUCUCUGUUCUCUCUGCUGCAGUUGCAUUAGUUGCUUCCUUUACAAAUCAUAUGUUUUCCAAUUGAUGUCAUUGUAUUAAACUGUGCAAAUAAAAUUCAGGUCAUCUGCGACCACUUGAGCCUGGGUGUCAAGACUGGCCUGCCAUACAUCUGGCACAGCAAGGCUAGCAACCCCUUCGUCAACUUGAAGAAGGAAUACAAGGGCAUCUUCUGGCAGGAGGACAUCAUCCCCUUCUUCCAGAACGUGACCAUCCCCAAGGAGUGUGACACAGUCCAGAAGUGCUACAUCUACCUCUCUGGGCAGGUGAAGGAGAAGCUGGGCAAGAUUGAUCCCUACUUCGCCAAGCUCGCCGAUGCCAUGGUCACCUGGAUCGAGGCCUGGGAUGAGCUGAACCCGACCACCGCCGCAGCUGAGAACGGCAAGGCCAAGUAGAUGGAGCCCCUGGAGUCUUCACUUCCCCUUCGAAGUGAUAAAGUAUGAUUGGGGCCUGCCUAGGCCCCAUAGAUAUAGCU